CAGUAGCCGCGGGAAUACGUAGGGUGCGAGCGUUAAUCGGAAUUACUGGGCGUAAAGCGUGCGCAGACGGUUAUAUAAGACAGAUGUGAAAUCCCCGGGCUCCACCUGGGACCUGCAUUUGUGACUGUAUAGCUAGAGUACGGUAGAGGGGGAUGGAAUUCCGCGUGUAGCAGUGAAAUGCGUAGAUAUGCGGAGGGACACCGAUGGCGAAGGCAAUCCCCUGGACCUGUACUGACGCUCAUGCACGAAAGCGUGGGGAGCAAACAGGAUUAGAUACCCGCGUAGUCCCUGUCUCUUAUAA
rnacentral:rRNA from 1 species